rnacentral:rRNA from 1 species
CCUACGGGAGGCAGCAGUGGGGGAUAUUCGACAAUGGGGGAAACCCUGAUCCAGCGACGCCGCGUGAGUGAAGAAGUAUUUCGGUAUGUAAAGCUCUGUCAGCAGGGAAGAAAGAAAUGACGGUACCUUACCAAGAAGCCCCGGCUAACUACGUGCCAGCAGCCGCGGUAAUACGUAGGGGGCAAGCGUUAUCCGGAUUUACUGGGUGGAAAGGGAGCGUAGACGGCAGUGCAAGUCUGGAGUGAAAGGCGCGGGCUCAACCCCCGGACUGCUUUGGAAACUGUACGGCUGGAGUGCAGGAGAGGUAAGUGGAAUUCCUAGUGUAGCGGUGAAAUGCGUAGAUAUUAGGAGGAACACCAGUGGCGAAGGCGGCCUGCUGGGCUCUAACUGACGCUGAGGCACGAAAGCGUGGGUAGCAAACAGGAUUAGAUACCCGGGUAGUC